CAGGGGUGUCAAACAUGCGGCCCCCAGAUGUUGCUGAACUACAACUCCCAUGAUUCCCUGGCUAUCUGUUUCAUUGAAAGAAUCAUGGGAGUUGUAGUUCAGCUGGGGGGGCCGCAUGUUUGACACCCCUG